rnacentral:rRNA from 1 species
UUGAACGCUGGCGGCAUGCUUUACACCUGCAAGUCGAACGGCAGCGCGGGCUUCGGCCUGGCGGCGAGUGGCGAACGGGUGUGUAAUGCAUCGGAACGUGCCCAGUAGUGGGGGAUAGCCCGGCGAAAGCCGGAUUAAUACCGCAUACGACCUGAGGGUGAAAGCGGGGGACUGAAAGGCCUCGCGCUAUUGGAGCGGCCGAUGUCGGAUUAGCUAGUUGGUGGGGUAAAGGCUUACCAAGGCGACGAUCCGUAGCUGGUCUGAGAGGGCGACCAGCCACACUGGGACUGAGACACGGCCAAGACUCCUACGGGAGGCAGCAGUGGGGAAUUUUGGACAAUGGGGGCAACCCUGAUGCAGCCAUGCCGCGUGCGGGAAGAAGGCCUUCGGGUUGUAAACCGCUUUUGUUCGGGAAGAAAUACUCUGGGCUAAUACCCCGGGGGGAUGACGGUACCGGAAGAGUAAGCACCGGCUAACUACGUG